rnacentral:rRNA from 1 species
CCUACGGGGGGCUGCAGUGGGGAAUAUUGGACAAUGGGGGGAACCCUGACCCAGCCAUGCCGCGUGUGUGAAGAAGGCCCUCGGGUUGUAAAGCACUUUCAGUGAGGAAGAACGCCUGGUGGUUAAUACCCAUCAGGAAAGACAUCACUCACAGAAGAAGCACCGGCUAACUCCGUGCCAGCAGCCGCGGUAAUACGGAGGGUGCGAGCGUUAAUCGGAAUUACUGGGCGUAAAGCGCGCGUAGGUGGCUUGAUAAGCCGGUUGUGAAAGCCCCGGGCUCAACCUGGGAACGGCAUCCGGAACUGUCAAGCUAGAGUGCAGGAGAGGAAGGUAGAAUUCCCGGUGUAGCGGUGAAAUGCGUAGAGAUCGGGAGGAAUACCAGUGGCGAAGGCGGCCUUCUGGACUGACACUGACACUGAGGUGCGAAAGCGUGGGUAGCAAACAGGAUUAGAUACCCUUGUAGUC